rnacentral:rRNA from 1 species
CCUACGGGAGGCAGCAGUGGGGAAUAUUGCACAAUGGGGGAAACCCUGAUGCAGCGACGCCGCGUGAGUGAAGAAGUAUUUCGGUACGUAAAGCUCUAUCAGCAGGGAAGAAAAUGACGGUACCUGACUAAGAAGCCCCGGCUAACUACGUGCCAGCAGCCGCGGUAAUACGUAGGGGGCAGGCGUUAUCCGGAUUUACUGGGUGUAAAGGGAGCGUAGACGGCAGCGCAAGUCUGGAGUGAAAUCCCAUGGCUUAACCAUGGAAGUGCAUUGGAAACUGUGCAGCUAGAGUGCAGGAGAGGUAAGCGGAAUUCCUGGUGUAGCGGUGAAAUGCGUAGAUAUUAGGAGGAACCCCGGUGGCGAAGGCGGCUUACUGGACUGUAACUGACGUUGAGGCUCGAAAGCGUGUGGAGCAAACAGGAUUAGAUACCCGGGUAGUC